rnacentral:lncRNA from 1 species
CCCAGGUCUGGGGCUGUUGGACCCCGGCCCGGAGCUUCGGCCUCGACCCCGGAGCUGCGCGGCCGAACUGCAUCUGCCGCAGUUCUUUGUGCCUCGGUCCCGCGCGCCCGGGACCUGUCCGCGGGAGGCCGCGCCGGCGAGCCUGGUUUCCUCUCCGAUCUGCAGCCACGGGUCCCCCGGACGGGCCCAUUUCCAUACGGUGUGAUGUGUGCCCUUAAAAGAAAAAAAAAAAAAAUCAGAAUUACAAAUAAAGUCGUGCGGGCAAGACUUUUACGCGGAAAGGGGAAUUUCCGCCCAAACGUUGGGGUUGUUACGCUGUUGGAAGCAAGUCUAGAUUUUGCCGUUGUGUUAAUGCCUUUGCAGAGUCUCAUCAGACACACACACAACUGCCCACCAUUUCCCGGGUUUGGAAAAGAGACCUGCCUCCCCCCCCCACCCCCCACCCCCUUAAAUGAAAGUGAUGACUCAAUGCUCGAGGGGAGCGCGGGCCCUAACACACAGGCCCUCGCGGCGCGGCGCUCGGGGGAGCCCGAGUUUGGAAAGAAUCGCGCCGGGCCCGUAGGACUUGGCAGAAAAUGUGCCAGGUGGGCAGCCUGCAAGGGGGUAGGGGCAGAGCAAGGAGCCCUGCCUAGAGAUCCACGAGCGCCAGUCGGGGCCUUGGCGGCGGUGGUUCGUGCAUCCUGCACAGGCCAGCGGGCCCCUAGUGUGCAGCAGGAGGCAGGCCGCCCUUCGCUCUCGUGGGGCCGGGGCUCUGCUACUGCCCUUGAGGACUGCAAACAAAUUGGUUAGACUGGCUAACAACGUAAUGCAGAUCCCAGUUCCCUGAGCUGAGAUGACUCUUCACAACCAGCAAGAGUAGAUGUAGAUCUGCUGACUCUUGAGCCUUCUCAGGGCAUUCUAGAAUGCUGCUUUCUUGCGGUUACUGCAGCUGCUCAAAGACCAUGUCACAUCUCUGUGACCCCGACAGUAAAGACAGGGGGACAUCACCGUCUUUCUUCUCACCCGGAAAGACACCUCCCAGUCCAUCUCCUCCAAUUCGGUAAGAUCCUAUCAGUCCUUCAAGUUCCGUUUCAAAUACUCAUCUCCAAAACAUUGGGUAAAGAUGAUGGCAGCAGUGAGACCAUUAAAGAGAACUGAAAGAGCCAAAUGAAGCAGGGGCUGGAAGGAGUUAAAAAAAAAGCAUUUAAAACAUUUGUUUUAGUUUUAAUUUCUAGAUAUGAGAUCCCCAAGUAUAUUUGAUCAUGGGAGUGAUAGUUGUCUUCCAUGGAGAGACCAAGGUUUGUGGAGAAAAAUGAUAGAAUUGAACUGUUAGAAAAGACAUUUGAAGUCAGCUAAUUUCUUCCCCCACCCAGUAUGAUGUCCCUAACAGGGCUUCAAUUCACUUUCUCCCUGAACCCAAAGAGUGACAGGGAACUGCCUCCUGAGCUCUUUCUCAAGAUCAUUCACUCCCCUACUGUCUCUUGCAUUUGUCAAGCAACGCUGCUAUAGUGAAGGAUGCUAUAUUAGUUUGCUAGGGCUGCCGUAGCAAAACACUCCAGACUUGGUGGUCUAAACAAGAGGAAAUUUAUCUUCUCACAGUUCUGCAAGUUGGAAGUCCAAGAUCAAGGUGGCAUCAGGUUUGGUUUCUCAAGGCUUCUCUCUUUGGCUUAUAGAUGGCUGUCCCUUUGCUGCUUUUUCACAGGGUUGUCCCUGUGCAUGAGCACCCAUGAUUUCUCUUCCUCAUCUUAGAACUAGUCCUAUUGGGUUAGUGCCCCACCCUGACAGCCUCAUUUUAUUCAAUCACCUCUUUAAAGACCAUAUUGAGACUGAAGCUCUUGAAGGACAGGAAUCCUGCUUUCUCCAUCUUGGGGUGCCAUAGUUCCUAUCACUCAAUACUCAAAUGAAUCACAACCCAAUGAACUGAAACGCAUCUUUUUAUUCACUGGGCUUUCCUGUUGAAAGCCAAAGCAGGAUCGGAUCGACAAGUUUGGAAAAAUGUGAGAGAAUAUCCUCCUGAUGGUACUUAGACACGUCAGGACUUUUGCUACUUUGGAACAGGUGAUUUUCCACAUGAUUGAGCACCUGAUCCCAUCAGGUAGGUCUUAAAUGUAUGACUGUCUUUUGAAAUUUCAUACCUACCACUAAUGUGAUGAAUUGUCACUGCAGUUCAAGGGCAUUCAUUUUGGAAAUAGGUGCCAACUGGCCUGUGAUGGUUUCUCAUUUUCAAACAGCUAGGGGCUGAUAAUUGCAGAUAUUUGAUAAAGGCAACAAGUUCACUCUACAUGGUUCAAUGAACUACUCUUUCUAUUCUGUGUAGACAAAUGGUGCUACUGUUUAUUUAUGAUCUAUAGGCAGGUUAUUAUAUUCUAGAUCACUUAUAAUCGAUGAGGCAUACUGUUUCAUUAUUAUUAUUAUUUCUUUGCCCUUCUCACUUAAUGAUAUUUACAAGCUUUUAGGUGUAAUAGGUUCUUAUUUAGCAGCAGAAUAUUUGUCCUGUUUUGACUAAUGAUGCAUUGCUCAGUUUCACCCAUCAUUGACUGCUCAGUUGGUGGAGUCUGCAUCUGGCUUCCCUGUUUCUCAUUAUGUACACUUUCUUCAAAUGUCACAGAUGCCCCUUUAUGUGGGGACACUUUCAUUUUCUCUAUUUGCUUCUGCUUCUGUUCGAUAUUCCUCCUUACUUUUUAUGUCGCUAUUAAUUUUGAAAGGUCAAUUGUUAAGAAUAUGUCUACCUCCAUAAAACAAAUAUUUCAAAGCAUAUAUUAUUUUCAUGUUCACUACUAGUUUUUUUUUUUUUUCAUUUGGACCUAAUUAGGUGAAUAUGGAGGAUAAAGGUUGUUCUUAUUAGGCAAAAUAUAGUGGUGAUUACUCUCCUUGGCCUUCAAGUAUCACACAUCUAGAGAUAAGGAGGUAGUCCUCUAUGACUGAGCAUAAGGCCUAAAUACAUUUACCAACUGCAUUCUUGCUUUAAGCCAUAGGAAAUUAGGUUAGUGAUCAAGAGAAGGGCUGGCAGUCAUAGGAACACUUAACUUGUUAUUUAUGCAUGACAUAUCAGAUAAAGGGCUAGUUUCCAAGAUCUAUAAAGAACUUACUAAACUCAACACCAAAGAAACAAACAAUCCAAUCAUGAAAUGGGCAAAAGACAUGAACAGAAAUCUCACAGAGGAAGACAUAGACAUGGCCAACAUGCAUAUGAGAAAAUGCUCUGCAUCACUUGCCAUCAGGGAAAUACAAAUCAAAACUACAAUGAGAUACCACCUCACACCAGUGAGAAUGGGGAAAAUUAACAAGGCAGGAAACAACAAAUGUUGGAGAGGAUGCGGAGAAAAAGGGAACCCUCUUACACUGUUGGUGGGAAUGUGAACUGGUGCAGCCACUCUGGAAAACUGUGUGGAGGUUCCUCAAACAGUUAAAAAUAUACCUGCCCUACGACCCAGCAAUUGCACUGUUGGGGAUUUACCCCAAAGAUACAAAUGCAAUGAAACGCCGGGACACCUGCACCCCGAUGUUUCUAGCAGCAAUGGCCACUAUAGCCAAACUGUGGAAGGAGCCUCGGUGUCCAACGAAAGAUGAAUGGAUAAAGAAGAUGUGGUUUAUGUAUACAAUGGAAUAUUACUCAGCUAUUAGAAAUGACAAAUACCCACCAUUUGCUUCAACGUGGAUGGAACUGGAGGGUAUUAUGCUGAGUGAAGUAAGUCAGUCGGAGAAGGACAAACAUUAUAUGUUCUCAUUCAUUUGGGGAAUAUAAAUAAUAGUGAAAGGGAAAAUAAGGGAAGGGAGAAGAAAUGUGUGGGAAAUAUCAGAAAGGGAGACAGAACGUAAAGACUGCUAACUCUGGGAAAGGAACUAGGGGUGGUAGAAGGGGAGGAGGGCGGGGGGUGGGAGUGAAUGGGUGACGGGCACUGGGUGUUAUUCUGUAUGUUAG